rnacentral:tRNA from 1 species
GCUGGCGUAGCUCAAUGGUAGAGCAGCCGCUUUGUAAGCGGCAGGCUGGAGGUUCAAGUCCUCUCGCCAGCU